UAAUACGGAAGGUCCAAGCGUUAAUCGGAAUUACUGGGCGUAAAGCGCGCGUAGGUGGUUUAUUAAGUUGGAUGUGAAAUCCCCGGGCUCAACCUGGGAACUGCAUCCAAAACUGAUUCACUAGAGUACGAUAGAGGGAGGUAGAAUUCACAGUGUAGCGGUGGAAUGCGUAGAUAUUGUGAAGAAUACCAAUGGCGAAGGCAGCCUCCUGGAUCUGUACUGACACUAAGGUGCGAAAGCGUGGGUAGCGAACAGGAUUAGAUACCCUGGUAGUCCACGCUGUAAACGAUGUCAACUAGCUGUUGGGAAGCUAUGCUUUUCAGUGGCGCAGCUAACGCAAUAAGUUGACCGCCUGGGGAGUACGGCCGCAAGGCUA
rnacentral:rRNA from 1 species